AGAGUUUGAUCCUGGCUCAGAACGAACGCUGGCGGCAGGCUUAACACAUGCAAGUCGAACGCCCCGCAAGGGGAGUGGCGCACGGGUGAGUAACGCGUGGGAAUAUGCCCUUCGGUUCGGAAUAACACAGGGAAACUUGUGCUAAUACCGGAUACGAUCUACGGAUGAAAGAUUUAUCGCCGAGGGAGUAGCCCGCGUAGGAUUAGCUAGUUGGUGAGGUAAUGGCUCACCAAGGCGACGAUCCUUAGCUGGUCUGAGAGGAUGAUCAGCCACACUGGGACUGAGACACGGCCCAGACUCCUACGGGAGGCAGCAGUGGGGAAUAUUGGACAAUGGGCGAAAGCCUGACCCAGCAACGCCGCGUGGGUGACGAAGGCCUUCGGGUCGUAAAGCCCUUUUCCACGGGAAGAUGAUGACGGUACCGUGGGAAUAAGCCCCGGCUAACUACGUGCCAGCAGCCGCGGUAAUACGUAGGGGGCGAGCGUUGUCCGGAUUUACUGGGCGUAAAACGCUUGUAGGUGGCCACGCCAAGUCGGAUGUGAAAUCUCCCGGCUUAACUGGGAGGGGUCAUUCGAUACUGGCGGGCUCGAGGCAGGUAGGGGGAAGCGGAAUUCCCGGUGUAGUGGUGGAAUGCGUAGAUAUCGGGAGGAACACCAGUGGCGAAGGCGGCUUCCUGGACCUGUUCUGACACUGAGGAGCGAAAGCGUGGGGAGCGAUCCGGAUUAGAUACCCGGGUAGUCCACGCCGUAAACGGUGGGCACUAGGUGUCGGGGGUAUCGACCCCUCCGGUGCCGCAGCUAACGCACUAAGUGCCCUGCCUGGGGAGUACGGCCGCAAGGCUAAAACUCAAAGGAAUUGACGG
rnacentral:rRNA from 1 species